UAUUUCACAUCAAAAGUACAUGUAGUGGUAUCCUUUCUCGUGGCAUCCAUCUACUUCUGCUUCAACCAUCCACCAUAGGACUGCACCAGUGGAGCAUCGUAGAUGGGGGCCUGUCCAACGCGCACCACCGAGGGCACCACUGGAACGGACUCGACCACAUUGACACGGCGAACCACCGGCACACGGCGGACCACAGGCACACUGCGCACCACCGGAACGGAGCGAAUAACGGGCACGGAACGGACCACCGGAACGGAGGACACCGGCGAGUAGAUGACACUGCACUGGGCGAGGGCCAUGCAGGCGGCGAUCAGGAAGGCGGCGAUGAAGAACUUGUAUAAUUUAUUUAUUGCAACAUUAAAAUGUAAACAAUUUAGGUGAUUUUCAAAUUAAAAGCCAUUUUUAUGGGCAACACAUUAAAAAAAUUUCAGACUGCAGACGAUAAAAAAAACCAGAACACAAUUAAGAUCACUUUUUCUUCACAAAUUUU
rnacentral:lncRNA from 1 species